rnacentral:rRNA from 1 species
UACAUGCAAGUCGGACGGGGUCCAGUCGGAGAGCUUGCUCGAAGACGGUGAGAGUGGCGCACGGGUGCGUAACGCGUGAGCAACCUACCUCUAUCAGGGGGAUAGCCUCUCGAAAGAGAGAUUAACACCGCAUAAUAUAUCUGACCGGCAUCGGUUAGCUAUUAAAUAUUUAUAGGAUAGAGAUGGGCUCGCGUGACAUUAGCUAGUUGGUAGGGUAACGGCUUACCAAGGCGACGAUGUCUAGGGGCUCUGAGAGGAGAAUCCCCCACACUGGUACUGAGACACGGACCAGACUCCUACGGGAGGCAGCAGUAAGGAAUAUUGGUCAAUGGGCGGAAGCCUGAACCAGCCAUGCCGCGUGCAGGAUGACUGCCCUAUGGGUUGUAAACUGCUUUUGUCCAGGAAUAAACCUAGAUACGUGUAUCUAGCUGAAUGUACUGGAAGAAUAAGGAUCGGCUAACUCCGUGCCAGCAGCCGCGGUAAUACGGAGGAUCCGAGCGUUAUCCGGAUUUAUUGGGUUUAAAGGGUGCGUAGGCGGCCUAUUAAGUCAGGGGUGAAAUACGGUGGCUCAACCAUCGCAGUGCCUUUGAUACUGAUGGG